AGUGAAGUACCUAAAAAAGGGCUAUCUUGAUAGGAUUGAUCAUGCAAGACUAACCUUGCCUUCACUA
rnacentral:tRNA from 1 species